rnacentral:rRNA from 1 species
AAAACGGAGAGUUUGAUCCUGGCUCAGGAUGAACGCUGGCGGUAUGCUUAACACAUGCAAGUCGAACGGUGUCUUCGGACACAGUGGCGGACGGGUGAGUAACGCGUGAGAAUCUGGCUUUAGGUCUGGGACAACCACUGGAAACGGUGGCUAAUACCGGAUGUGCCGAAAGGUGAAAGGUUAACUGCCUGAAGAUGAGCUCGCGUCUGAUUAGCUAGUAGGUGUGGUAAAGGCGCACCUAGGCGACGAUCAGUAGCUGGUCUGAGAGGACGAUCAGCCACACUGGGACUGAGACACGGCCCAGACUCCUACGGGAGGCAGCAGUGGGGAAUUUUCCGCAAUGGGCGAAAGCCUGACGGAGCAAUAC